CCGUCAGACGAACGCUGGCGGCGUGCUUAACACAUGCAAGUCGAACGAUGAAGCCCUUCGGGGUGGAUUAGUGGCGAACGGGUGAGUAACACGUGGGCAAUCUGCCCUUCACUCUGGGACAAGCCCUGGAAACGGGGUCUAAUACCGGAUAUGACACACGACCGCAUGGUCUGUGUGUGGAAAGCUCCGGCGGUGAAGGAUGAGCCCGCGGCCUAUCAGCUUGUUGGUGGGGUGAUGGCCUACCAAGGCGACGACGGGUAGCCGGCCUGAGAGGGCGACCGGCCACACUGGGACUGAGACACGGCCCAGACUCCUACGGGAGGCAGCAGUGGGGAAUAUUGCACAAUGGGCGAAAGCCUGAUGCAGCGACGCCGCGUGAGGGAUGACGGCCUUCGGGUUGUAAACCUCUUUCAGCAGGGAAGAAGCGAGAGUGACGGUACCUGCAGAAGAAGCGCCGGCUAACUACGUGCCAGCAGCCGCGGUAAUACGUAGGGCGCAAGCGUUGUCCGGAAUUAUUGGGCGUAAAGAGCUCGUAGGCGGCUUGUCACGUCGGAUGUGAAAGCCCGGGGCUUAACCCCGGGUCUGCAUUCGAUACGGGCAGGCUAGAGUUCGGUAGGGGAGAUCGGAAUUCCUGGUGUAGCGGUGAAAUGCGCAGAUAUCAGGAGGAACACCGGUGGCGAAGGCGGAUCUCUGGGCCGAUACUGACGCUGAGGAGCGAAAGCGUGGGGAGCGAACAGGAUUAGAUACCCUGGUAGUCCACGCCGUAAACGUUGGGAACUAGGUGUGGGCGACAUUCCACGUCGUCCGUGCCGCAGCUAACGCAUUAAGUCCCCGUA
rnacentral:rRNA from 1 species